CACUUCACUGUGUACCAGAGCCUUUUCAUCGCGGAUCUAACCCUAACCUUAGAGGCUUUUCAUCGCGGCUCCAACCCUAACCCCAGAGCCUCUUCAUCGUGCUUCCAACCCCUCCUUCGAUGCUCCCUCCGUCUCAAACCCUCAAUCGUACUCACUCUCUCUCUUGCAAGUCCUCAAAUGUCGCUCCUCUGUCGUGCUCCGUAAUGCUCUGUUGCAUUCCCUUCGUGCCGCCAGUCUCUAUUAUCCUUUCUCCACGCCGUAUUCCUGGUCACCAGUCUCUGCCUCCUUCACGUAUCUUGUUAUCCUCUACGUGUGGCUGUGUUGAAGCUCCAAACUCCGAAACUUCUCUGUGUCCCUAGCUCAACUUCUGCCUCUACUUCAGGUAAUAAGGGGUAGGUAUGGUGAUCUAGUGAAGAUACUCUCCAUCUGCCUAAAGGAUUUGGUAGGCAGUGCGAGUAAAGGAAGGUUGCAACUUUAAGAAGAAAAAAAAACAAGUGCCGAUAGUAAUGCAUGUUAGCCUAUGAUAAUUUCUUUGGCGGCUUGGUUGUGGAGUUAUUUGUAUUGUAUUCUAGAAAAUGUGGCAUCAUGCGGUCGGAAAAUAACAUUCUGUUCCCUAGAAGCAUUUUACUAUUAUAGAUAUGGUGUAUGUGUAAUGAUAAUUUCAAGUAUGCAAAGUGGUCAUCUUGUUAAAUCUGCUGUUCAUGUCUAUUUUUGUAACAUGGCAUUAGUUUGUCCUUCUAAUGUUGUCAUCUUGUUAAAAUUGUAUGUACCCAUCCUUAUUUG